GCCUGGGUAGCUCAGGGGUAGAGCAGUCGACUGAAAAUCGACGUGUCGGUGGUUCAAAUCCGCCCCCGGGCACCA
rnacentral:tRNA from 1 species